rnacentral:snRNA from 1 species
GUACUUGCUUCGGUAGCACAUAUACUAAAACUGGAACGAUACGGAGAAGACUAGCACGGCCCCUGCACAAGGAUGACACGCAAAAUUCGUGAAGUGUUCUAUAAAAAA